GAAUCUUGCACAAUGGGCGAAAGCCUGAUGCAGCAACGCCGCGUGCGGGAAGAAGGCCCUAGGGUUGUAAACCGCUUUUAGCAGGGAAGAAACUGACGGUACCUGCAGAAAAAGGUGCGGCCAACUACGAGCCAGCAGCCGCGGUGACACGUAGGCACCAAGCGUUGUCCGGAUUUAUUGGGCGUAAAGAGCUCGUAGGCGGUUCGGUAAGUCGGGUGUGAAAACUCUGGGCUCAACCCAGAGCCGCCACCCGAUACUGCUGUGACUAGAGUUCGGUAGGGGAGCGGGGAAUUCCUGGUGUAGCGGUGAAAUGCGCAGAUAUCAGGAGGAACACCGGUGGCGAAGGCGCCGCUCUGGGCCGAGACUGACGCUGAGGAGCGAAAGCGUGGGGAGCAAAC
rnacentral:rRNA from 1 species